AACGAACGCUGGCGGCAGGCUUAACACAUGCAAGUCGAACGGUUGGUCGCAAGACCGAUAGUGGCGAACGGGUGAGUAACGCGUUGGUGACCUGCCCUAAAGCGAGGGAUAACAGUCCGAAAGGGCUGCUAAUACCGCAUAAUCUGGUGGACGGUUAGAGAGCUACCAGGAAAGCCGGACGCUUCGUAAGAAGCGCAGGCGCUAAAGGAGGGGCCUGCGUCCCAUCAGCUAGUUGGUAAGGUAACGGCUUACCAAGGCGAUGACGGGUAGGGGACCUGAGAGGGUCGGCCCCCCACAAUGGAACUGAAACACGGUCCAUACACCUACGGGUGGCAG
rnacentral:rRNA from 1 species